GCGGGUUGUCCGUUGCGUUCGUUCCGCUCUCGCUCUCGGCCGUUCCGAAGAGACGACGCUGGCAGGGAGCAAAGAGACAGAAGCGACCGCAAGAUCCUGGGCGCUGGCCGACUAGCUCUACCGCCUCCGUGACACCUAUUUACUUCGAGACCCGAAGGAGAAGACCUCCAAGCUGAAGACCCUAGCCGACGCGGCUCUCGCCCUCGUCGAUUCACUCUAUUCGACUAUGAUAACCCUUCUCCCAUCGCUCUACGUCGAUCUAUUCUCGUUCGUGUCGGUUUCAAUGAACAAUUGGAAAUUUCACGCUUGAAAUGGAGAUGCUUGGUUAUGCUUGGGCAAUUGCAUUGGGAAGAAAGGGGAUUUUCCAUCAGCAGAAAACUGCUCUUCUUUAGCACUAAGCAAGAUGUGCAGGCUCUAGACAUAAUUCACUAGGUCGCUGAAUUCCUAUUGUUCGUAGUACUCAAUCAAAUAGCUUGGCCUUCCAGUAUAUAUUUAUUCAAGACCAAACUCAUUUCAUGCA